rnacentral:lncRNA from 1 species
AGGAUUUCAGGGUUCUGUAGUUGGUGACGUCCGCCUUCUGCACAAAGAUGACUCUGAGGUGUGGUGACGACAUGUGUUGGGUUUCUUGGGACCAUCGAAGUGUCACUGUGAAUUUUGAGUCGGGGCUGGCUGCCCAGGCUGGACCCAACUCCUGGACUCAGUGGUCCCCCCACCUUGGGGCUGCAGACGCUGCCCCCACGCCCGCGGGGCUAUUCUGUCUUAUGUUUUGGUCUAGUGUCUCCCUGGUCCGGGGCCACCACCCUCUGUGGCCUCACCUGGCCGGUCCCUGGUCUGUGGGGAGACGGAGCAGCCCCACCCAGCCUCCUUGGGCUCGGGCUCCAGCAUGCAGGUGGGGCCUACGGGCCAUCUUGUCACAUUGUCACUUAUCCGAGAAGCGUCUGUGGCAGGCCUGGCCCUGUGUGUCCUUCAGUGGGGGACUGAACUCCACCCCUGAGCCGCAUCCCAGCCCUAGUGUAUCUUAGAGACGGGGCCUCAUUCAGUUGCAGAGGCUGACUUUGAACUCACGAUCCUCUUGCUCCGAGCCGCUGGGAUUACAGGCGUGGCCACCGUGCCCGGCUGUCACCCAGUCUCUAGAUUUGUUCUCAGAACCCGUGUUUGGGGUCCCCUCGGGUGGGGGCUGAGGUCGGGAGGGCCCUGCCUGGCUGCUGUGGGGCGGGCCCACAGGGCCAUGCGAGGGUCCAGGCCUGUAAGGGGCCCCCUUGCAGCCCCGUUGGCUGCCCUGGAAGGUUGAGUCCACUGUCCCCCUGUCCCCCCAUCCUGGUCAUUUGAGCACCACCAGGAGGACUCUCCACUUUCCUGGGUAGAGGCCUCGUCACUGGCACGUCUGACUUGCCCUCACCUCUGCUAGGACAGAAGGGGACAGGACCCUGGGAGCAGCCCAUGUCCCGGGGACCCUGCCCCGCGUUCCCUGUGUGACCAUCAUGCUUCUGAAUGUCCUUCUGGGGUUGAAAUCUUUGCCACCACCUUGGUCCCUAACCCAGCCAAUGACUUCACCCUGGCCUCAGUGAGGAUGGGCUCUGGGUCACCUGCAGGCCCCUUGGCGGUCCCCUGGGACCCAGGCUGUCUGAGGACCUCCUUCCUGCCACAGAGCCCUGUGAUGUGACCCUGGUCUCCCUCCCCGGACUCCCUCUUCUACUUGGAGUUUUAUGUGGAAGGGAGGCGCUGUGCCUCUGUGACCUGGGGUCCCCGGGGCCAGGCCAUCACCGCGAUCCGUCACUGCGAUCUGUCACCGCAAACGCACUGUUGUUGGUUGGGCUGUCCCUCCAGGCACCAUGGGGCUGCCUGUCCCAGAGCCCUCUGCACGCCCCAUGAUGUCCCCCAGCAUUGGGCCUCAGGGACUUGCCCUCCUCUGUCUUACUCUGGCCCUGCCCUCAUCAAGGGCACCGGCCAACGGCCUCCCCCGGAGGCCACGACCUCUACUGAUCACGUGGAUUCCCCCCGAAUUGGAAGUCCAGGGCACUCUGUACCCCAGUUGACACUAGAAUGUCUAGAGCAUCAGAUGGCUUGACCCUGGUUCCCGUAGCCCAAACCACCAGGCCCUGUGACAGAACGCCGGGUCCCUGCCACUGUGUGGGACCCUGGAACGUGCCUCUCCGGGUGUUACUGGUUCUCUUCUGUAUCCCUCCACUCCCUCGCCUCUGUGGGACCCCGGACAAGUCACACGACCUCUCUGGAGCCCCCGUUUUCUCCUUUUAAAACAGAGUGCCAGCGUGGUGGCAUAUGCCUGUAAUCCCAGCGAUUUGGGAGGCCAAGACAGGAGGAUUGCAGGUUUGAGGCCAGCCUCAGCAACUUAGUGGGGCCCUGUGUCAGAAUACAAACUUUAAGGAGUGGGGCUGGGGCCCAGUGGUAGAGCACCUGCCUCGCACGUGUGAGGCACUGGGUUGGAUCCUCAGCACCACAUAAAAAUAAAGACAGAUAUUGUGUCCAUCUACA